rnacentral:lncRNA from 1 species
GCGAUUUUAAAGAUACAUAAAAAAUGUUCAAUGGUUGUAAGCAAAUUUUUCUAUAGAUAUUGAUAGAUCUACAGAAAAAAUAGCAUUAAACCAAAUAAAUAUCACAAAGAAAUUUCAAAAUUGCAAAAUAUUUUGCAUGUGAGUUGGACAUAGUAUUCGAUUUUUUAGCCUAAUAGGCAUGUGAUUCACUUAUGUUUCACAAGUCAUCUAAAGCAAUAAAUCAAUAAAACAAAAAUUAAAAAUAAUAAGAGAAUGAGAGAAGUGAGUUCUACAUAGUGAUCGAUGAUAGUGAUCGAAAUGAUCGAAGUUUUUAAUGAAUCACUUAUGUUUCAUAACUCAUCUGAGAUAAAAUGAGAGGCUGUAUCAGUGUGAGAUAAAAGAAGGAACAUUAGUGCGAGUGAGUGAAGAGAGAAAUGAGAGACUAAAAUGAGAAGC